AGCAUAUUAUUCAGCGGAGGAAAGAAACUAACAAGGAUUCCCCCAGUAACGGCGAGUGAAGAGGGAAGAGCUCAAUGUGUGGAUCUGGCGG
rnacentral:rRNA from 9 species